rnacentral:rRNA from 1 species
GAUGAACGCUGGCGGCGUGCCUAAUACAUGCAAGUCGAGCGAACAGACGAGGAGCUUGCUUCUCUGACGUUAGCGGCGGACGGGUGAGUAACACGUGGAUAACCUACCUAUAAGACUGGGAUAACUUCGGGAAACCGGAGCUAAUACCGGAUGAUAUCUUGAACCGCAUGGUUCAAUAGUGAAAGACGGUCUUGCUGUCACUUAUAGAUGGAUCCGCGCUGCAUUAGCUAGUUGGUAAGGUAACGGCUUACCAAGGCAACGAUGCAUAGCCGACCUGAGAGGGUGAUCGGCCACACUGGAACUGAGACACGGUCCAGACUCCUACGGGAGGCAGCAGUAGGGAAUCUUCCGCAAUGGGCGAAAGCCUGACGGAGCAACGCCGCGUGAGUGAUGAAGGUCUUCGGAUCGUAAAACUCUGUUAUUAGGGAAGAACAUAUGUGUAAGUAACUGUGCACGUCUUGACGGUACCUAAUCAGAAAGCCACGGCUAACUACGUG